rnacentral:rRNA from 1 species
CCUACGGGGGGCAGCAGUGAGGAAUAUUGGUCAAUGGUCGGGAGACUGAACCAGCCAAGCCGCGUGAGGGAUGCAGGUACAGAGUAUCGUAAACCUCUUUUGUCAGGGAACAAAGGCGGGGACGUGUCCCCGGAUGAGUGUACCUGAAGAAAAAGCAUCGGCUAACUCCGUGCCAGCAGCCGCGGUAAUACGGAGGAUGCGAGCGUUAUCCGGAUUUAUGGGGUUAAAGGGGUGCGCAGGCGGUCUGUUAAGUCAGCGGUCAAAGCCCGGGGCUCAACCCCGGCACGCCGUUGAAACUGGCAGUCUCGAGUUGGAGAGAAGUAUGCGGAAUGCGCGGUGUAGCGGUGAAAUGCAUAGAUAUCGCGCAGAACUCCGAUUGCGAAGGCAGCAUGCCGGCUCCACACUGACGCUGAGGCACGAAAGCGUGGGUAUCGAACAGGAUUAGAUACCCUUGUAGUC